GAAGUGCUAUUUACUAGUUUUCUCUCCAGUACCGUAUUGUGUUCUCGCCUCACUAUUCCGAUCCUGUUGGAUCAAGUAAAGCUUUUGAUGCCUCAAAGAUUCUGAUUCUUCAAGCUUGGGCAUGGAAAUUAAAGGAACUGCAGGAGUGUUCAUUAAUAUCCUCAAACAGAUUGUAAAAUCAAUUGUAAUCACGACUCAUCGCGACUUUAACCGUGUGGCGUGGUUCACAGUGGAACAGAACCCCUCAAGAUGAAUGCAGAAUUGGAGAUUAUUGGGAUCAGAAUGUCUGCAAUUGGAUGCAAGCAACGUUGGGUUCACAUUAUGGUAUGCAUUGGAGCUAACGAAAAGGUGUGGUAUUGAAGUAGCACAUUCAGAAGCUGGUGCAUCAAAAGUGCUGGUGACUCUCAUUAUCAAUAUCUGCCUUUUCCAAGAGGUGUCUUCCAAAAUAUCGGAAGUAGCCCACGUUUUUCAGACUCUUGCCAUGAACCUUAAUUAUUGGAGGGAAAUUUGGAGCAAGUUGUGUCACAACCACCAAUUCAGCAGCGCAACAGGGCUUGUUGAGACUUGAACAAAGCACAGCUGCCUGCUUGCUUUCGCCCUUGCCUGAGAAAUUCAAGUCAAUUGGCUCUGAAGACUAACAAUAUUCGUUUUAUGUUUAGUUAUUCCUUUCAGCCGCAGUGUUGGUUUUGUUUUCCAUUUGAGAGUUUUAGUUAAUGGCCAUGUUCGGCCCAGCGUUUAUUGUUUUCUUUUCCCUCUAACUCUGUUCGCAUUGAAGUCUGUGAACUAUCGACCCACUUCAGUGUCUCUCGCUCCGCACUUGGACCAUCCCCGAACGUACUGAUAAGUUGUUAGAGUAUCCUCUCAUCUGCUUUGGUGAAACUUUGACGAUGGUGUGGAGCUUGGCUUCUGAGCAUGUGCAAGCACAAUUAUUGUCUGCCAAGUGCAGCUUGACCAUCGCGAUUUCUGUGGCUCUGGA